GGACGGACUUAUCGGGGGGGAGUGAGGAAAAGGUUUAAGCGCAAGCCGACAUCAGCAGCAAAGAAGAAGGCAGCGCGGGGAGCAUUCGCGGGGAGAGCCAGGGGAGGGGGGAGGGCUACUACAUCUACUACUACUGCCGCCUCUACGUCAACUGGUCGUCUAGGCAGUAUGCCAGUCCCGCGCGGCAGUAGCGUACAACUCAACACUCGGCCCGGAGUCUUCAACCCAUCGCGACUUAACCUCUUGUAAACUUGAUACACUGUACAAUAUUAUAAUAAUAAUUUAUUUACGAUGUUAAUGCGACAGUAAUAAAAUAUGUUUUUUAAAGUCAAUUUGUAAAUAAUUACCUUGUUACCAUGACAUUAAGUUCAAUAUACGUUGAUGUUAUUUAACUUACUUUAAAACUACCUAAUGUAAACUUUAUGGUCUUUAGCUCAUUUCAGUCGAGCUUGAGAAAAAGAUAGCUAAGUAGAGCAGCUUUUCCGAAAGCGAAUAAUUGUACGGCGUGUAAAACAGAUGGCGCUAUACAAAUGAUAAGACUAUCUCUUUCUAAUACUUAGAAGAAAUUUGUAAUUUAUUGCCGAGUAACUAUUUGUAUAAAUUGUUCGGACUAGAUGUGUUGUCAAUUUAUUAUAUUAUUUUUCAAACUAUUUUGAUUCUAUUAUAAUUAAAUGAGAUAAUUUAAUAAUUAAUCCAAUGUGCCUGUUCUCG